ensembl:misc_RNA Y_RNA Y RNA
GGCUGGUCCGAUGGUAAUGGGUUAUCAGAACUUAUUAACAUUAGUGUCACUAACAUUGGUAUUCAACCCCCCACUGCUAAAUUUUACUGGCUUUAA